CUUCCGCCGGCGACCGGCGCACGGGUGAGUAACACGUAUGCAACCUGCCCCUGUCAGGGGGAUAACCCGCCGAAAGGCGGGCUAAACCCGCGUACAUGCCACCGGGGCAUCCCGGAGGCAGGAAAGGCUUCGGCCGGACAGGGAUGGGCAUGCGGCGCAUUAGCUAGUCGGCGGGGUAACGGCCCACCGAGGCGACGAUGCGUAGGGGUUCUGAGAGGAAGGUCCCCCACACUGGUACUGAGACACGGACCAGACUCCUACGGAAGGCAGCAG
rnacentral:rRNA from 1 species